GACGAACGCUGGCGGCGUGCUUAACACAUGCAAGUCGAAGAUAGUGGCGAACGGGUGAGUAAUACGUAGUAACCUGCCCUCCUUUUUGGGAUAAGCCUUGGAAACGGGGUCUAAUACCGAAUAAAGGGGGAUGGGCUCGCGGCCGUUCAGCUUGUUGGGGGGGUGAUGGCCUACCAAGGCGGUGACGGGUAGCCGGCCUGAGAGGAUGAUGAGUCACACUGGAACUGAGACACGGUCCAGACUCCUACGGGAGGCAGCAGUGGGGAAUAGUGGACCAUGGGCGAAAGCAUGAUCCAGCCAUGCCUCGUGUGUGAAGAAGGUCUUCGGAUUGUAAAGCACUUUAAGUUGGGAGGCGUUACCAACAGAAUAAGCACCGGCUAACUUCGAGCCAGCAGCCGCGGUAAUAC
rnacentral:rRNA from 1 species